rnacentral:lncRNA from 1 species
AGUUAAUAUUAUUGUUAAAACCCAAACUCUUGAAUCACCUAAUAUGAGUCUAAGGAGUCGCAUAUUCUAUUUUCGUUAGGAAAAUAUCUUUUUUUCUAAGAAAAUAUCUUUUUUUUUCUAAGAAAAAAUUAACUUAACAUGAUUUGAACUUCACCCUAGAGAUAUGUAUGGAUCCAGAAUUUUCUAGUCAUUCAGGAAAAAAACAAUUGUUAUUAGAAUUAUAUAGAUGUAUAUCCACACGUACAAUUUUUUUGUAUUACUAUAUACAACUUCCAUAAGAUCUUAUACAUAAAAUUUCAAAAAAAAAAAGAAAAGGGAAUAGAUUUGAUAAAUUUUCCUUUUUGAAAAGAUCAAAAUUUAGUAAAAACAAAGAAGAAGAUCAAAAACUUUUAUAGGAAAAAUAAAAAAUGUACUGAGAUUUACUUGCCCAAAUUAAGAUUUUAGUGCCUCAAAAACUUUCACAUGAAAAGAAAGACAAGCAAUGGUAAGUAGAGUCUGCAUCUCAUGAGUGGUUGUCCAACUUAGCCCUCUUUUCAUUUAGACAUUUGAAGACCACACAAGAACUUAUCCACCAAUAAUAAAACUCUCUUUUCUUCUUCCUUUUUUUUUUUUUGAACAACAAACUUGAUUAGAUGAUAAGAUUAAGUCUAGUACAUUGCAUGAGAAGCAGUACGCAGAGCUGCUUUAGCUAGAAAGUCAGCUGCUGAAUUCUGG